GGUGGCUUAGUGGUAGAGUGCUUGCCUUAUAUGCACGAAGCCCUGGGUUCGAUUCCUCGUACCA
rnacentral:tRNA from 1 species